UGUUAUUUGAAACUAGGAAUUUUAUUUCAGAAGAAGGAUAAGUGGAGACAAAAAUAUAGCCUUGUUAUUUUGAUUUGUGCCCAACUACACUGAUAAUAAAGUAAAAAUAACAUUAUAAUAAAAGACUCAAAAUUGACUUAUUAACAGUGUUAAAUCAGUCAGAAUCCUGUUUUGAUAAAUCUUGGUAAAAUAUAGUAAUGUUUAGUUGGCAUGAUGUACGCAUAAUGCCCAGAUCUUAUUCUGAAUUUGAAGAUUUAAAGCCAAGUUUUACAUGUAGAGAUGAAUAUUAAAAUGCAAUGGAAUAAAAAGUAUUAUGAUUGAGCUUUUUCACUAAGACAUGAGUAUACUAGAAUAUCACACCAUAGCUUUCUAAACUAAGGAUUAACCUUCCAUGAGAACCAUUCUAUGGAAAGAAAGAAAAUAAUAAAAAUUUUAGAUGCAUACAAUGCUACCUAAAGUCCUGUUUUAAUUCACAUUAUCAGGAACUCAGCAGUCCUUUCUGUCAUGGCUAAUGUAUCUAGUAUUUUAUGAAAUUGGACAAGGAGCACAAUUUGUUGAACUAGAACUCAAUAUGUCUCACACUAUUGAAAUAGUACAGUAGUUCACUCAUAGAAACAUCACUAUUAUCAUUAUAUAUUAUGACAUUUUAGACAAGGAAAAAUACUGCUUUUGUCUCCACAGGUGCAAAGUGCUUUCCCCAAACAUGUUAGGAAAAGUUUGAACAAAGCUGAGUUUUCCUGUAAGAAACCUGAAUAUGUUCUUGAGUAUUAGGCAUAACGGAUCUGUGAAUUCAGAAAUGGUUUCUUUUAAUGAUUAAAGUAACAGUUUGUACAACUGACAUUUAUGAUUAUGGGGGUUGUUUGGGCGUUGUUAGAAUUUUUCUUAUCAGGCUUAUGCAAAUAAUGAAAAGAUCUCAGAUAUUACUUAUCAUGAAAUAAUAACCUCAGUCAUAAUACAAAACACAGCAUUUUCUCUCCAUGAAUUAUCUGAACUUUUUGUUUUGUUUUGUUUUGUUUUGAGACGGUGUCUUGCUCUGCCGCCCAGGCUGGAGUGCGGUGGCGCAAUCU
rnacentral:lncRNA from 1 species